rnacentral:lncRNA from 1 species
ACAACAAUAAAUUAAGCCCGAAUGUAUCCAAUUCAUGUGUAUAAAACUCAAUCAUCAAAUACCCCCAAACUUAAACCUUUGCUUGUCCUCAAGCAAAAACACAAAAAUGUUAUGCAAUGCAAUGUAAUGAAACUAAUCUAUAUGCCUACGACUCCAACAGUAAUGACAGAAACAAGUCUAUUCAACCGGCCUUAGAGAAAUCAAGUAAACAUGAUAAUACAUCAUAUUAAAACAAAUCAGUAAUUUCCCAAUCAAUCAUCAAAUCUUAGACUGUUAUCACUGAUAUAGUGCGUGUGUGCUCCACAACAAUGUUAACUGAUAUAAAAUCAAAUUUAAGACAUAAUAGAUAUCUUUGAAGGCAUCAUACAGUGCAAAUUCACAAAAUUCACGAACAAGCUAUAUCCAACUAAAGUCAAACAUCCACCAAGUUCAAGAGUCCAAUCUGGGAUACUUAUGCUUUACUUUUCAUUACGGGGGCUUUUUGCUCUUUU